GAUGAAGAACGUAGCGAAAUGCGAUAAGUAAUGUGAAUUGCAGAAUUCAGUGAAUCAUCGAAUCUUUGAACGCACAUUGCGCCCGCUAGUAUUCUGGCGGGCAUGCCUGUCCGAGCGUCAUUUCAACCCUCAAGCCCCCGGGCUUGGUGUUGGGGAUCGGCGAGCCUCCGCGCCCGCCGUCCCCUAAAUCUAGUGGCGGUCUCGCUGUAGCUUCCUCUGAGUAGUAGCACACCUCGCACUGGGAAACAGCGCGGCCACGCCGUUAAACCCCCAACUUCUGAACGUUUGACCUCGGAUCAGGUAGGAAUACCCGCUGAACUUAAGCAUAUCAAUAAGCGGAGGA
rnacentral:misc_RNA from 1 species